ACCUGACUGGCUCAAUUGGUAGAGCAUCCAAUUCUUGAUCUUGGGGCGUGAGUUCAAGUCCCAUGUUGGGUG
rnacentral:tRNA from 1 species